AUCAUCAUCCACUGUACACUACAUUGACUACAAUCAGUACAAUGCGUCGGUGCGAGGUUUAUCAAAGAAAAGAAUGCAACAGGCCUAACCAGUAACCACUACCAGGCUUAUUCAUCAACAGCAAAGAUGCUAUGCUAUGCAGUGUUCUACUGUAGCUACACCAAGUUGACAAAGAAACAGUUGGGAAUUAAGAUGAACUGGUGGGAUCAUUGCAGAGCUGCAGAGGUGGCAAUCCAUUUCAGAGGCAGUGAUCCCUUGUGGCCUGGGAGCUGGGACUGCUACAUCCAAAACAAAUACUAAGGAUACCAAACAAGAAACUGCAUCAUCUAAUGCUAAUCAUCAUCAUCGAGAGGAUAGCUGCUAUGAGUUUGACAAAAGGCUGAGUGUCAGCUAGACUCACAAGUCUGCUGCUCAGUCCUGGAAACUACAACUGAUCCAGAUUUGCAGUUGUCAAAGUUUCAGCAGUCAGAGCCUCUAUGGAAUCAAGAAGUGUGAGAGAUGAAGAAAAUCUCUGUGAAGGAAGAACCAUUUCUUACAUGAUGAGGGUUGUGGCAGGAUUGAUCAAGUAAGCCUGUCAGCUCUGGAUUUGGGGGCCAGCAAGCUUCAUCUCCCACAUCCACCAUCAUGUGCACAAUGAAAGCUCCAACUGAGGCUCGUGAUGCACAUGGCUGGCUUGGCUCACUAACCCUCUCCACUGCCCUUGGCAUUGCCUAAGAAGGCUAAGAUGCUGGAGACGCUCUUGACAGCAGCGGCGCGUCUGGAGCGUCCAGUUCCGACCAACUCACCGAGACGCUUGUCUUUUCCCGGCAUUGAUUUUGUGGAACUUACAACCGCGACUAAAUCGUUGUGUUCUUUAGAAGCCUUUGUCGGAAACAAGGCAUUGUUGCUCGGUUCAUGAUUAUUCUUUUGUCAAUGAAAAAUCUCUGAAGAGGCAUGGUCUUCUAAUGCACUUUUUACCUUUAGUCACUUGUCUGUUAUUGGUGUAAAUUUGCUUGCAGUGCAUAGCGAAGCCUUGUUCAACAAGUUUUAACCGUAUAAAUUAAAAUCAUUGCUUCUGAAAGUAUAGAUAUGUAUUGCUGCAAUUCGGGUCAUGCCCACAAAAAGUUAAUUAAUCCCUGUGAAAUUAACGUAUAUGGCCAAUUAGUCUCAGUGCGGCCGGAGAGGAGGAAUUUCUGUGCAUCGCUUUUGCGACGAAAAAUAAUUCCAGAGAACAAACUGUCUGUCGCGAUGGUGCCAGAAACUUCAGUGUUGUAAAGUGUACUGUCUAAUCAAUAAUCAGUCUUAAAUAAAUUCGAUUCUCAAAUAAAACUUAGGAAUUUUA
rnacentral:lncRNA from 1 species